UCGAAGAUGAUACUCCGAAUCAUGCAUAGUUCACACUGAAACAUCGUGUUGAGAACCAUUCAUCUAAUGUCUUUCGCUCCUAUCUGA
rnacentral:snoRNA from 1 species